CUACGGGAGGCAGCAGUGGGGAAUCUUGCGCAAUGGGCGAAAGCCUGACGCAGCAAUGCCGCGUGAGGGAAGAAGGUCUUAGGAUUGUAAACUUCUUUCAGCAGGGACGAAAACAGACGGUACCUGCAGAAGAAGCCCCGGCUAACUACGUGCCAGCAGCCGCGGUAAUACGUAGGUGGCGAACGUUAUCCGGGAUCACUGGGCGUAAAGGGUCCGCAGGUGGCAUGUCAAGUCGAUUGUGAAAGCUCCCGGCUCAACUGGGAGAGGACGGUCGAAACUGGCAAACUAGAGUCCGACAGAGGUCGGCGGAAUUCCCGGUGUAGUGGUGGAAUGCGUAGAUAUCGGGAGGAACGCCAAAAGCGAAAGCAGCCGGCCGGGUCGAGACUGACACUGAGGGACGAAAGCGUGGGUAGCGAACAGGAUUAGAAACCCGUGUAGUCC
rnacentral:rRNA from 1 species